GCUGGGCAUGGUGGCGUGUGCCUGUAGUCCCAGCUACUCGGGAGGCUGAGGUGGGAGGAUUGGUUGAGCCCAGGAGUUCUGGGCUGUAGUGCACUAUGCCAAUCGGGUGUCCGCACUAAGUUCAGCAUCAAUAUGGUGACCUCCCAGGAGCGGGGGACCACCGUUGCCUAAGGAGGGGUGAACCAGCCCAGGUCGGAAACGGAACAGGUGAAAAGCUAUUCACAGGUGCUGAUCAGUAGUGGGUUCGCACCCGUGAAUAGCCACUGCACUCCAGCCUGGGCAACAUAGCGAGACCCUGUCUCUU
ensembl:misc_RNA Metazoa_SRP Metazoan signal recognition particle RNA